UUUAACAUAUGAAUGUAUAUCAUUCCAUGAAAUUAAAACAGAGAUUAAGGUACGAUUUCACCAUUUACUAAUCAUUACAUUACACACACUCUAUCAUAUCAUACAUCCAUUCCAUCAUCAACCCCACCACAAACCCAAAAUCAACAAAGAAACAACAUUAACAUUAAUUAACUCAAAAGACCACUACCACAUAAUUAAAGCAUUAAGGCUAAAACAACACACAAAAAGAAGAGUGCAUAUGUGGUCACCACUAUGAUGCUGCAUACAUCAUCAUCAUCACCCUUCAUUUCAUUUUAACUUCUUAAAAUAUAAUUUUAUUCAUCUUGGUUCGAUGCCAAGAAAGUACAGAGAGAACCCCAAACACAAAGAGGCUCUCUCUCUCACACCCUUUGCAAUCUCAG
rnacentral:lncRNA from 1 species